rnacentral:rRNA from 1 species
UUGAAAGGGAAACGAUUGAAGUCAGUCGUACCUGCGGGUAAUCAGCCUUUUGGGCAUGAUUCUGUGGAGCGUGAGGAGUUAAACGCCUUCAUGCCUGCAUAUUCGUGUACAUUGGGUGUACUUGCCUGUGUGGUUAGUUAACAUCAAUUUUGGUUAUCAUAAAAUGGUUGGAGGAAUGUAGCUUCGAUUUCGAUUGAAGUGUUAUAGCCUUCGGCAGAUGUGAUGAUCGGGAUUGAGGAUUGCAACGGAUACCCUUCGGGGCUACCUGUCUGGUCUCUGAUCGUUGCUUUGGUGCCGAAAGCGUGCUUACGGUUAUCAAAGUCGAUGGUCAAUAGGUUAGAACGGGUUAAAUUCGUUAAGGAUGUUGACGUA